UACGAAGGGGGCUAGCGUUGUUCGGAUUUACUGGGCGUAAAGCGCACGUAGGCGGAUUGGUCAGUUAGGGGUGAAAUCCUGGAGCUCAACUCCAGAACUGCCUUUAAUACUGCCAGUCUCGAGUCCGGAAGAGGUAAGUGGAACUCCUAGUGUAGAGGUGGAAUUCGUAGAUAUUAGGAAGAACACCAGUGGCGAAGGCGGCUUACUGGUCCGGUACUGACGCUGAGGCGCGAAAGCGUGGGUAGCAAACAGG
rnacentral:rRNA from 1 species